UACGGGGGGGGCAAGCGUUGUUCGGAAUUACUGGGCGUAAAGGGCUCGUAGGUGGCCAACUAAGUCAGACGUGAAAUCCCUCAGCUUAACUGGGGAACUGCGUCUGAUACUGGAUGGCUUGAGUUUGGGAGAGGGAUGCGGAAUUCCAGGUGUAGCGGUGAAAUGCGUAGAUAUCUGGAGGAACACCGGUGGCGAAGGCGGCAUCCUGGACCAACACUGACGCUGAUGAGCGAAAGCGAGGGGAGCAAACGGG
rnacentral:rRNA from 1 species